rnacentral:lncRNA from 1 species
GUAAACAUCACGUCUGCCCCCAACGAGUCUCCCUCCUUCCCUCCCCUUGCAAAUUCCUCUUGCAAACGUAACCUGUGCCGGAGCGAGUGGAAAAAGGAGUUUAUUGCCUCCCCGAGUAACUGGGUUGCGAUCACGGGCAAAAUUUGCUGCUCUAGGGAUGGGGAAGUGGAUGAUUCCUAUUCCUCUCUGGGUAAAAUAAGUAAAGACAGACAGAUAGAUAGACAUAUAGACAGACAGACAGAUAGAUUGAUGAAAAGCCUGAUUUUUUUCAAGGCGCUGAACUAUGAUGUUGGAUAGUGAGACCAUCUGAGAUGUCUUACCCCCAGCUCUGUGCUGUUCAGCCACUCAUGGGAAGGAGAUAAGGGGUCUGAAAUAUCUAAAUGGACACUAAAAGGCAUGGGCAGGAUUAAGGGCUGAAGGUUUCCAGUGUGCUCGUGGAGGGGAGGGAAGCAAAGAGUUUCCAGAGAUGAAAAGACAGAGCAAUACCCCGAGCUGAGAAGUAUGUCUGGAUGCUCCUGGGUGUGCUGCCUUCCCCUCCAAUGGAUGCAACAAACUCAAAUCCAAGUGGGCAUUAAAGGAAAACAGCCCAUGGCAAUGAAAUCCUGCCUCCCUCAUUGUCCACCAGAGUUUUGUCUUGGACUUCAAGGGAGAUGGGAACUCGCCCUCAGAGGUUAUUAAAAUCCUUUGUAAUAACAGCGCUUCUCCAGUAACCCUUUACAGCAGGCAUACGCUGGGGUUGCUAUAGCAGACAGAAUGGGAAAACGCAUUUCAGAUGGCAGAGCAAACACCCAGGAAUAUUCCUUCUCCCCUCCACUAUUGCUUCCUUAAUUGGGGCACCAAGGCAAAAAGCUCUGGUAGGGACAAAUCCAGAGCUGGGGCUCAGGUGAGACAUAUUUGCCCCAAGUUAACAAUCAGCAUUGGGGACCCCCUUUGGGGGGUUCAGAUCAGAUAUAAAGAAACAUUUCUACUUAGAAAGAGUGGCAAUGCAUUGGCACAGGCUGCACAGGGAGGUGUUGGAGUCAUCAUCCCUGGAGGUGUUCAAGAACCAUGGAGAUGUGGCACUUGGGGACAUGGUCAGUGGGCAUGGUGGGAUGGGCUGGGGUUGGACUUGAUGAUCUUAGAGUUCUUUUCCAACUUUAACUCACCUGUGACUUGGGGAUGUCAGUGAGUACUUUUCAGGAGGCAGGCUUUUCUGCUUGUUUUGUCGUUGGCUUUCUUGUGGGGUGGGCUUCCCAUUGGAAACCACCGCAAAGACCACAUGAACAGCCCGGAGCGGUGUCUGAAGUGGAGAACUGAAGGGAAACCCAUUUACUGCAAUUAAUAUCGCUGCUAAAACAAGUCAUGCCCCGGAGAUAGAGAGGACCCUUGUAAGAAUUUGAGUUUGUUUGUUGCUUUGUUUAUUUGUAUGGAGCGAAGAAGAAAAUGGAGGGGAUGGGAGAAUCUCUGAGAGCCUUUUUUCCCUCCGGGCUGCUCUACAGUGAUGGGGCUGUGUGUUUAUAAAGCCGCUCCGUGAGCUCCAGGUGCCCGAGGACUUGGAAGAAGUGAGAGGCAGAGUUAAUGAGGUGAGAAGGAAAGCAGAAGGGAAAGAGCAGAACGCAUUUGUUGCAACAGAUCAGCCUGAAACAUCUGCAGGGCACGGGCACCUGCGUUGGUAGGGAAAUGUAGGUUUUUAGUUCGUAAAAGGGAAAAAAAAAAAAAACUCUGGAGAAAAGGAAGGGAGAGAUGGAGAGUGAGAUUUGGGCACGUCUUAAGAUUUAUCUUCUUUUUAUUUUUUCCCCUUCUUCCCAAAACCUUAUAGAGAGGGGGAAAUAAAGCGAAGCAGCGAACGCAGCCUUGCCGCACGCAGGGUUAAAUGGAAACACACAAUCAGACCAUAACUCAGGGUGUAAUUCAAGCCAUACGUUUUGUCUGUCUGUUGCCUCGAAAGGUUGUAUCAAGGCUUGGCGAGGGAGGGGAUAAUCCAAACUUCGUCGUGAUUCAUAAACCACUCCUUGGCGAUUUGGAUCAUAGAUCUCUUUCACGGCGACUCGCCCAACCUCAGAGCUAACCGUGGCUCCAUGCUCU